rnacentral:rRNA from 1 species
UACGGAGGAUCCAAGCGUUAUCCGGAAUUACUGGGCGUAAAGAGUUGCGUAGGUGGCAUAGUAAGCGGGGUAUGAAAGCGUGUGGCUCAACCAUACAGCUAUAUCCUGAACUGCUAAGCUCGAGAGUGAGAGAGGUAGAUGGAAUUGCUAGUGUAGGAGUGAAAUCCGUAGAUAUUAGCAGGAACACCGAUGGCGUAGGCAGUCUACUGGCUCAUUUCUGACACUAAGGCACGAAAGCGUGGGGAGCAAACAGG